ACGUCAAACAAAUUUAUUAAUUUAUUUAUUUUGCGUAUCAAAUUUAAUCAGUAUUGUUAAAAAUUAAAAUUAAUCGGCUCAUUUCGUGAACACGGAAAAUUUUUUUUUUUUUAUUAUUCGUGUAACCUAUAUAGCUGUUUGGCUAUAAGUGUUACCCAGCUCUAAGAUGACUGUUGUUUAUUGAAUCACGGAACGUUUUCUCAUGAUUAAAUCGUAUUAUAUCACUUUUUUUUCAAGUAUUGUAAAACACAUAGUAGAAAUGAACGAGUUUUUAUUGUGGUCCGCACACGAAUCUGCGUUAUAACUGUAUUUAACUAAUUGUAUGUUAUUUGAUGAAUUUUAUAAUUUUUGAAAACGAAUGAAACUCUUAUAUAACUACUGCUACUGGCAAUUGCUUCGGGCCACGAAUAACACUAUGCUCGGUAAGAUCAUAAGUCCAAUAUAGUCGUUUUUAAAAUGCAACUGACAUUCUAAGGAAAGGUAUUGGUAAACACUAUUCCACUAAUCAAAAGUUAGACCGAUUAUUGUUAACCAAACUUCAUUGAUGACAAGUCAAUAGAAUAAUGACUUCUCCGGUCUACCGAAAAUGCAAGUUCGACGCCCAAUAUACAAUUUAUGGUACUUGUAUCAAGACACUAAGGACAGAACUCGGCGUGAAAGUCAUGAUUUAUAGCUGUGUCACUGAAAAAAAAUCACUGGCCGUACCUAACACCUAUCACAGGAAAGAUGUCCGAAAUCGCCGACUAUAUACGAUAUUAUGUUUCGAUAUUAAAAAAAAAAAGAAUAAGAAACUAGAAAUUGUCUUGAUAAUUUAUACUGUCAUUCUCUAUACCAUCAUCGUUUUUAAUGUAUUAUAGCUUUUGUACCAAUA